rnacentral:tRNA from 1 species
GUGGACGUAGUUCAAUUGGCAGAGCACCGGAUUGUGGUUCCGGCUGUUGUGGGUUCGAGUCCCAUCGUCCACCCCA